rnacentral:snoRNA from 1 species
GUGUACAUUUAUUGUCUUUUUUCGUUAUGUCAAGAGAAAAGAUAUUUCUGAUGUGCUAAACAAACCUGUGGCGGUAAAUUAGCAGCAUGGCUUACCUUAGCCAUUGCUGUCAGUCACCUUCAGACAAGU